GUGAGGAAUAUUGGUCAAUGGACGAGAGUCUGAACCAGCCAAGUAGCGUGAAGGAUGACUGCCCUAUGGGUUGUAAACUUCUUUUAUAUGGGAAUAAAAAAGGCCACGUGUGGUCUAUUGUAUGUACCUUAUGAAUAAGCAUCGGCUAAUUCCGUGCCAGCAGCCGCGGUAAUACGGAAGAUGCGAGCGUUAUCCGGAUUUAUUGGGUUUAAAGGGAGCGUAGGCGGGCGAUUAAGUCAGCGGUAAAAUAGUGUGGCUCAACCAUACUGUGCCGUUGAUACUGGUUGCCUUGAGUGCACACAAGGAAGAUGGAAUUCGUGGUGUAGCGGUGAAAUGCUUAGAUAUCACGAAGAACUCCGAUUGCGAAGGCAGUCUUCUGGGGUGUUACUGACGCUGAGGCUCGAAAGUGCGGGUAUCAAACAGGAUUAGAAACCCUGGUAGUCC
rnacentral:rRNA from 1 species